rnacentral:rRNA from 1 species
CGAAGGGGCGUAGCGUUGCUCGGAAUUACUGGGCGGUAAAGGGACGCGUAGGCGGCGGCCCAAGUCAGGCGUGAAAUUCCUGGGCUCAACCUGGGGACGUGCGCUUGAUACUGGGUUGCUUGAGGAUGGAAGAGGCUCGUGGAAUUCCCAGUGUAGAGGUGAAAUUCGUAGAUAUUGGGAAGAACACCGGUGGCGAAGGCGGCGAGCUGGUCCAUUACUGACGCUGAGGCGCGACAGCGUGGGGAGCAAACAGGAUU